rnacentral:rRNA from 1 species
GCGCGAAAACUUUACAAUGCGGGAAACCGUGAUAGGGGAACUCUGAGUGCCCGUUAAAUCGGGCUGUCCACCAGUUUAAACAACUGGCGAAGAAAGGGCCGGGCAAGACCGGUGCCAGCCGCCGCGGUAAUACCGGCGGCUCGAGUGGUGGCCACUAUUACUGGGCUUAAAGCGUUCGUAGCUGGCCUGUUAAGUCUCUGGGGAAAUCUUCCGGCUCAACCGGAAGGCGUCUCAGGGAUACUGGCAGGCUAGGGACCGGAAGAGGUGAGAGGUACUCCAGGGGUAGGAGUGAAAUCCUGUAAUCCUUGGGGGACCACCUGUGGCGAAGGCGUCUCACCAGGACGGCUCCGACAGUGAGGAACGAAAGCUGGGGGAGCAAACC